rnacentral:rRNA from 1 species
GUGAACGCUGGCGGUAGGCCUAACCCAUGCAAAUCGAACGGCAGCACAGUAAGAGCUUGCUCUUACGGGUGGCGAGUGGCGGACGGGUGAGGAAUACAUCGGAAUCUACUUUUUCGUGGGGGAUAACGUAGGGAAACUUACGCUAAUACCGCAUACGACCUACGGGUGAAAGCAGGGGAUCUUCGGACCUUGCGCGAUUGAAUGAGCCGAUGUCGGAUUAGCUAGUUGGCGGGGUAAAGGCCCACCAAGGCGACGAUCCGUAGCUGGUCUGAGAGGAUGAUCAGCCACACUGGAACUGGGACACGGUCCAGACUCCUACGGGAGGCAGCAGUGGGGAAUAUUGGACAAUGGGCGCAAGCCUGAUCCAGCCAUACCGCGUGGGUGAAGAAGGCCUUCGGGUUGUAAAGCCCUUUUGUUGGGAAAGAAAAGCAGCAGGUUAAUACCCCGCUGUUCUGACGGUACCCAAAGAAUAAGCACCGGCUAACUUCGUG